UCCGGGGGGGGCAAGCGUUGUUCGGAAUUACUGGGCGUAAAGGGCUCGUAGGUGGCCAACUAAGUCAGACGUGAAAUCCCUCAGCUUAACUGGGGAACUGCGUCUGAUACUGGAUGGCUUGAGUUUGGGAGAGGGAUGCGGAAUUCCAGGUGUAGCGGUGAAAUGCGUAGAUAUCUGGAGGAACACCGGUGGCGAAGGCGGCAUCCUGGACCAACACUGACACUGAUGAGCGAAAGCCAGGGGAGCAAACGGG
rnacentral:rRNA from 1 species